UACAGAGACUGCAAGCGUUAUUGUCGGAUUCACUGGGCGUAAAGGGUGCGCAGGCGGUUGUGUGGUGUCCAGGUGUGAAAGCCCGGGGCUUAACCCCGGAAUUGCGCCUGAAACUACAUGACUAGAGCAUUGGAGAAGGGUAGCGGAAUUCACGGUGUAGCAGUGAAAUGCGUAGAUAUCGUGAGGAACACCAGAGGCGAAGGCGGACUAC
rnacentral:rRNA from 1 species